rnacentral:lncRNA from 1 species
GUAGCAGUGUUCUUCGGUGCCAUUUCUCCUGCAAGAGAAUAAUGAGUGUAGAUCAAAUAUCUAUCAUCUAAUUCUAUUAGCAUAACAUUGGUCUCAAAGAUGGAAGGAGAAGCCAGGUCCCACCGGGCGUGCCAUUUUGUCUGCGACCACGAAUGACGCACCUCGCACGGUUAAUCUUAUUUUGAUUUUCCCGUGGGGUAGUAUUCCUGAUUUAGAUUAAUAUUUGAAUAUGUAUGAGAAUCAGGUAUUGUGGAUUCAUGGCUUCCAAUAAACGUAAGCGUUUAUUGUUAAUUACCCCUACAAAGUGUUAGGGCACCUUCGAUUAAGAGACCUCUGUAAUGCUGAAAUAGACUGAAAUUGAAUAAAAGAUGGAUUUUAUAACACAAUCCGUUGUAUAGUUACAUAGCUUAACCAAGGGCAUAUCCCCAGUGUACAUGAGUAUAAUAUGACGGUUGAUUGAACUUGAUUCUAAAUCAAAGUGUAUGAUCAAAUUGAUUUGAUUGGGCUCUAUAUGUUUCAGUGCUCAACAAUAUUGUUCACCCUAAGGUGAGGGAUUGAUUAAAUUCCAUGUAUAUGCAUUGGGACUUAAUCGGAUUUGAUUCAAAUUGAACCCUAGUUAGGUGCAUUAGAGUUUGAUUUGAUUAAAUUGAUU